rnacentral:rRNA from 1 species
GCUCUGAUUGUCAUGGCGAAGAGAUUCAGNNANNNGGGNAAACGGCGGGAGUAACUAUGACUCUCUUAAGGUAGCCAAAUGCCUCGUCAACCAAUUAUUGACGCGCAUGAAUGGAUCAACGAGAUUCCUGCUGUCCCUAGGUGCUGUCCGGUGAACCAACAGCCAAGGGAACGGGCUUGGGCGUGUCAGCGGGGAAAGAAGACCCUGUUGAGUUUGACUCUAGUUUGAUGCUGUGCAACGACAUGUGGGGUGUAGCAUAGGUGGGAGGCCAGUGCCAUGAUGUGACACAGCACUGCGCCUAUGCCCACCGGUACACACCCACUAUCCCAGUGGCUGAGUCUAUGGUGCAUAUGGGCGAGCUAUGUGAGCGAAGAGGAGCAGAGCCUCCCAGUCUGGAUUGAUAUGGUGCAAACCUGCAGUGAAAUACCACUACCUUCACCGUCGUUUUACUCAUCGAGUGGCUUGGGAACAGCGGCCAUUGGACAUCAGCCCCUGCAAUCCUGGGGGGGUUGCGGCCUCAUCCUGCUUCGUGUGUCAAGCGUGGCCAGCUCGCUGGCUGCGUGACCCUGUGUGCGACUGCGGUCGUCACACCCAGUAUUGGUGCCUCGGGACAAUGAUCAGUUGGGGAGUUUGGCUGGGGCGGCACGCCUGUUACAUCACAACGCAGGCGUCCUGAAGCAUUGCUCAGAUGGAACAGAACUCUCCCAUGGAGGAGCAGGCCACAGGUGCUGCUGAUGCUGCGACUUCCAGUACAAGUCCGAAACGUGCAAGCGUGGCCUUGCGAUCCUUUGGUAACCCAUGCGGGUUCCGGAUAUUGAAGCCAGAGGUGUCAGAAAAAUUACCACAGGGAUAACUGGCUUGUGGCUGCCAAGCGUUCAAAGCGACGUCGCUUUUUNAUCCUUCGAUGUCGGCUCUUCCUAGCUUGGCACCCGCAGCAGA